rnacentral:rRNA from 1 species
CAUACCACCCUGAACGCGCCAGAUCUCGUCUGAUCUCAGAAGCUAAGCAGGGUCGGGCCUGGUUAGUAUUUCUAUGGGAGAAAGGGAAAAAGAAAGAAAAAAAAAAAA